GGGGCUGUAGCUCAGUAGCAGAGUGCUUGCCUAGCAUGCAUGAGGUACUGGGUUGAAUCCUUAGCACCA
rnacentral:tRNA from 1 species